GGAAAGGCUCAGCGGGCCUGGGGUCAGAUCUGUCUGUUUAUCUUGGGCCCAUUCGCUGUCUAUCAUCACUCAAGUCUGGAAAAGCCUGUUAGGAUUGGCUGCCCAACCUUUGAUCUUGAACCCAUGUCCCCAGCCCAGUAAAGAUCUGUCCGCUGGGUGGAUUGAAGUGAUUGGACCUGGAAUGCCCACUCCCCCCGCGAAGACGGCCCCUGCCAACUCUGCCCCAUACGUGCCUUUCACUGAGAGUCUGGGGGGCAGGGUCAGUAAGGUGUUCCUUUUUCCCCCCAAAAUUUUUGACCAUACCUUGCUGGGAUCUGAGGUCCCCAACCUGGUAUCAAACCUGUGCCCUCUGCAGUGGAAGCAAGAAUUCUUAACCACUGGACCACCAAGGAACUCUGAAGAAGAUGGUCUUGAAGUCGGAUGACCGUGGCCUUGCACCCUCCCCCUCCACGUCCAGCUGCCUGACCUGGAGGAAUGAUGGAGCUGUCUUGACCAUCUGUUCUUAUCCAAGGCACUGGAGAGCAAUCCAAGCAGGCAGGAACCAGAAGAAGCACAGUCCUUGAAGGAUAUGGAAGAAUUGAGGCACCCCAAGCCUGGCUCCUAUGUACGUGGCUGCUGCUGCUGCUGCUAAGUCACUUCAGUCGUGUCCGACUCUGUGCGACCCCAGAGACAGCAGCCCAUCAGGCUUCGCCAUCCCUGGGAUUCUCCAGGCAAGAACACUG